rnacentral:rRNA from 1 species
CCUACGGGAGGCAGCAGUGAGGAAUAUUGGUCAAUGGGCGGGAGCCUGAACCAGCCAAGCCGCGUGAGGGAAGAAGGUCCAGCGUAUCGUAAACCUCUUUUGUCGGGGAGCAAAUUCGGGGACUAGUCCCCGAAUGAGGGUACCUUGAGAAAAAACAUCGGCUAACUCCGUGCCCGCAGCCGCGGGAAUACGGAGGAUGCGAGCGUUAUCCGGAUUUAUUGGGUUGAAAGGGUGCGCAGGGGGACUGGUAAGUCAGCGGUAAAAGACCGGGGGUCAACCCCGGCGAGCCGUUGAAACUGGCGGGCUGGAGUGGGAGAGAAGUAAGCGGAAUGCGCGGUGUAGCGGUGAAAUGCUUAGAUAUCGCGCAGAACCCCGAUUGCGAAGGCAGCGUACCGGCUCGAAACUGACGCUGAGGCACGAAAGCGUGGGUAUCGAACAGGAUUAGAUACCCUUGUAGUC